GUAGGUGAACCUGCGGAAGGAUCAUUACCUAGAGUUGUAGGCUUUGCCUGCUAUCUCUUACCCAUGUCUUUUGAGUACCUUCGUUUCCUCGGCGGGUCCGCCCGCCGAUUGGACAAUUUAAACCAUUUGCAGUCGCAAUCAGCGUCUGAAAAAACUUAAUAGUUACAACUUUCAACAACGGAUCUCUUGGUUCUGGCAUCGAUGAAGAACGCAGCGAAAUGCGAUAAGUAGUGUGAAUUGCAGAAUUCAGUGAAUCAUCGAAUCUUUGAACGCACAUUGCGCCCCUUGGUAUUCCAUGGGGCAUGCCUGUUCGAGCGUCAUUUGUACCUUCAAGCUCUGCUUGGUGUUGGGUGUUUGUCUCGCCUCUGCGCGCAGACUCGCCUCAAAACGAUUGGCAGCCGGCGUAUUGAUUUCGGAGCGCAGUACAUCUCGCGCUUUGCACUCAUAACGACGACGUCCAAAAGUACAUUUUUACACUCUUGACCUCGGAUCAGGUAGGGAUACCCGCUGAACUUAAGCAUA
rnacentral:rRNA from 1 species